rnacentral:rRNA from 1 species
UACGUAGGUGGCAAGCGUUGUCCGGAUUUAUUGGGUUUAAAGGGUGCGUAGGCGGCCUUAUAAGUCAGUGCUGAAAUAUCCCGGCUUAACCGGGAGGGUGGCAUUGAUACUGUAGGGCUUGAGUAAAGUUGAGGUUGGCGGAAUUGACGGUGUAGCGGUGAAAUGCUUAGAUAUCGUCAAGAACACCGAUAGUGAAGACAGCUAACUAAGCUUUAACUUGACGCUGAGGCACGAAAGUGUGGGGAUCAAACAGG